rnacentral:misc_RNA from 1 species
UCCGAGUUGACCCCGGCAGUCUCCCACGAGUCCCCGCCAUUACGCGCUGGCAACAUAGGAUAAGGGUUGCGCUCGUUGCGGGACUUAACCCAACAUCUCACGGCACGAGCUGACGACAACCAUGCACCACCUGUCACCGGCCCCAAAAGGACCCCACAUCUCUGCAGGAUUUCCGGCGAUGUCAAACCCUGGUAAGGUUCUUCGCGUUGCGUCGAAUUAAGCAACAUGCUCCGCCGCUUGUGCGGGCCCCCGUCAAUUCCUUUGAGUUUUAGCCUUGCGGCCGUAAUCCCCAGGCGGGGUGCUUAAUGCGUUAGCUGCGGCACGGAGGGAGUGGAUAACCCCCCACACCUAGCACCCAUCGUUUACGGCGUGGACUAC